GGGGAAUAUUGCACAAUGGGGGAAACCCUGAUGCAGCGACGCCGCGUGGAGGAAGAAGGUCUUCGGAUUGUAAACUCCUGUUGUUGAGGAAGAUAAUGACGGUACUCAACAAGGAAGUGACGGCUAACUACGUGCCAGCAGCCGCGGUAAAACGUAGGUCACAAGCGUUGUCCGGAAUUACUGGGUGUAAAGGGAGCGCAGGCGGGAAGACAAGUUGGAAGUGAAAUCCAUGGGCUCAACCCAUGAACUGCUUUCAAAACUGUUUUUCUUGAGUAGUGCAGAGGUAGGCGGAAUUCCCGGUGUAGCGGUGGAAUGCGUAGAUAUCGGGAGGAACACCAGUGGCGAAGGCGGCCUACUGGGCACCAACUGACGCUGAGGCUCGAAAGUGUGGGUAGCAAACAGGAUUAGAUACCCUGGUAGUCCACACCGUAAACGAUGAUUACUAGGUGUUGGAGGAUUGACCCCUUCAGUGCCGCAGUUAACACAAUAAGUAAUCCACCUGGGGAGUACGACCGCAAGGUUGAAACUCAAAGGAAUUGACGGGGGCCCGCACAAGCAGUGGAGUAUGUGGUUUAAUUCGACGCAACGCGAAGAACCUUACCAAGUCUUGACAUCCUGCGACGGAUAUAGAAAUAUGUCUUUCCUUCGGGACGCAGAGACAGGUGGUGCAUGGUUGUCGUCAGCUCGUGUCGUGAGAUGUUGGGUUAAGUCCCGCAACGAGCGCAACCCUUAUGGUCAGUUACUACGCAAGAGGACUCUGGCCAGACUGCCGUUGACAAAACGGAGGAAGGUGGGGAUGACGUCAAAUCAUCAUGCCCUUUAUGACUUGGGCUACACACGUACUACAAUGGCGUUAAACAAAGAGAAGCAAGACCGCGAGGUGGAGCAAAACUCAGAAACAACGUCCCAGUUCGGACUGCAGGCUGCAACUCGCCUGCACGAAGUCGGAAUUGCUAGUAAUCGUGGAUCAGCAUGCCACGGUGAAUACGUUCCCG
rnacentral:rRNA from 1 species